UAGAACUAGGCUGGAAUACUAUCAAUAGCACCAAUCUAUUGGCAUUGGUGCUAUUGAUAUUUUAGCCCUCGAAUUGAGAAAUGGAUGGUUAGGAUGAUGUGGGUCCACUAAAAUUGAGUGAGUGGUUGGUUGAAUAGUAUAAUCUAACGAGUAAAAAUAAUCAAAUGAUUAAAUCUAACGAAAAACUCGAUAGCACCAAAUCCUUGGUGCUAUCAAUAGCACCACAGCCGGACUCUCUCUCUCUCUCUCUCUCUCUCUCUCUCUCUCUCUCUCUCCAUAUAUAUAUAUAUAUAUAUAUAUAUAUGAAUUAAGCUAGAAUACUUUUAGAAGCACCAACCCCUUGGUGCUUCUAAGUUUCUAACUCUUGAAUCUACUCCUUGAUUACUAAUAACAUUUGGAUCAAACAUUAUUCCACCUACCACCACCUACUACCAUCAUUACAACCCUACAUCUUUCCAUCCAAAGGCUAAAAACUCAAAAGCACCAACCCCUUGGCGCUUUUGGGAGU
rnacentral:lncRNA from 1 species